AACAAAGAAAGGAGGAAGUAACCUGUGGUAUGCUGAGAAAGCCUGGUGAAAUUGUACUCAGCCUUCACACCUCAGGUUAGAUGUCAUUUCCUAUGAGAAGCCCGCCUCGUUCAGGACGUCCAUGAUCUCUCACAGCCUUCUGUGUUCCCUCCUCAACACGGUGUUUUAUAGCUUUUUAAAAAAUUCUGUGAUCAUAUUAUGCUCAGCAAACAGAGAGAGACUAUUCUUGUUCCCUGUGCCUAGGAUGUGCUUGAUGUAUGAAGCCUCAGGCAAGUCCUUCAGGAGGAAUCCAGAAGAAGGCAUUGUUAUCACAGGAGAUGACAACUCCAUGCGUGUCAUUGUCCCUGAAGACCUUCCAGUGGGACAAGAUGUGGAGGCGGAAGACAGUGAUAUUAAUGAUCCUGACCUUGGGUGAUAUGGAGGUGAUCCUGGCCUGAAUAAGGUUUGAUGCCUGAGGUGGGCUGAGAAUGACUUCAAAGCCUACUCAAUGUGAAGACAAUGAAGAUGAAGACCUUAAUAAUGAUCUACUUACUCUCAAUGAAUAUUAAAUAUGUUUUCUCUUCC
rnacentral:lncRNA from 1 species